AUUGAACGCUGGCGGCAUGCCUUACACAUGCAAGUCGAACGGCAGCACGGGAGCAAUCCUGGUGGCGAGUGGCGAACGGGUGAGUAAUAUAUCGGAACGUGCCCAGUCGUGGGGGAUAACGCAGCGAAAGCUGUGCUAAUACCGCAUACGAUCUAUGGAUGAAAGCGGGGGACCGCAAGGCCUCGCGCGAUUGGAGCGGCCGAUAUCAGAUUAGCUAGUUGGUGGGGUAAAGGCCCACCAAGGCGACGAUCUGUAGCUGGUCUGAGAGGACGACCAGCCACACUGGAACUGAGACACGGUCCAGACUCCUACGGGAGGCAGCAGUGGGGAAUUUUGGACAAUGGGCGCAAGCCUGAUCCAGCAAUGCCGCGUGCAGGAUGAAGGCCUUCGGGUUGUAAACUGCUUUUGUACGGAACGAAACGGUGAGCUUUAAUACAGUUUGCUAAUGACGGUACCGUAAGAAUAAGCACCGGCUAACUACGUGCCAGCAGCCGCCGUAA
rnacentral:rRNA from 1 species